rnacentral:rRNA from 1 species
CGUCGUGAGACAGUUCGGUCCCUAUCCAUCGUGGGCGUAGGAUAUUUGAGAGGCUCUGCUCCUAGUACGAGAGGACCAGAGUGGACGUACCUAUGGUGCAUCUGUUGUCACGCCAGUGGCAUAGCAGGGUAGCGAUGUACGGAUUGGAUAAACGCUGAAAGCAUCUAAGCGUGAAACCAGCCUCAAGAUAAGAUAUCCCAUUGAUAGUUUCUAUCAAGUAAGACCCCUUGUAGACCACAAGGUUGAUAGGUCGGGUGUGUAAGCGCAGUAAUGCGUUAAGCUGACCGAUACUAAUAGGUCGAGGGCUUCAAUCAA